CACUACUUUCGAUAUUUUAUGACAGAAAGGAGAAUUGAUUUGAUGCUGGGAGCAUAUGAUCACUCCCUGUGCUCUCAUCUGCUGCUGCUUACAGAGGAGAGGAUGCAGAGAGGACAACAGAGAACAGUGGACACACAGUUUAACAUGAUGGACUAUAGGACAGGACUGCUGCUUUUAACUCUCUGCUGGGCAGGUGCUGAUGGUCAGACUCUGACAGAAUCUGAACCAGUGGUUAAAAGGCCUGGAGAAUCUCACAGAUUGACCUGUACAGCCUCUGGAUUCACGUUCAGCAGCUACGAUAUGACCUGGAUCAGGUGUUACAGGUACCGUCUGGCACCACGUAAAAAGCUUAUAUGCUCUCUCUGGAAACAGGAGAAAUAAAUGAGACAGGGCAAACUCUGCGUCCGGUUUUCAUCUCGCUCAGCAGAAAGAGGAAAACCGCAAAGCGGACAAAACUGACGUAAAGCCCCGUGGAGCACAAUAAGCGCCACACUACCCCCUGCUGGCGAACUCCACAAUUACUCCUGACCUCUCUUUAACAUAUUUUAGUGCAUGGAUGGUGGAACCAGGUUAAUUACCCCUGAACAAAUAUUCAAAAACAUUCAUUAUAACAUUACAGAAACUACCACAAAUGUGAUAACACUUUAGUGGGAAUCACACGCUCUCUGACAGAGAAGAAUGGCUCCCGACAUUUCCAAAAAUCUUUAUCUCAAAACAGUUUAACUAUUUUUAAAUUUUUAACCUUGAUUCUCAAAUCUCUAUUCAACAAACAAGCAUAGUAGCAAGGUGGAAUGUAUGUGGCUGGUGCUUGGUAAGGGUAUGGCAUGUAUGGUGUCUGGGAGUAAAGGCUCCUGGAAAAGGACUGGAGUGGGUUGCUUAUAUCAGCCAUAGCAAUGCUAGCAUCCACUACUCUCAGUCAGUCCAAGGCUGGUUUACCAUCUCCAGAGACGACAGCAGACAGCAGCUGUAUCUGCAGAUGAACAGUCUGAAGACUGAAGAUUCUGCUGUUUAUUAUUGUGCUCGAGACUCACAGUGACUGGAGUUGGUUGAGCAGCUGUACAAAAUCCUACAGCACUCAUCUUUACUGGGCUGAUUGGCCCAAUAUUGAAGCAUAUUUUUUUUCUUUUGUUUUUAAUGAACACAUACUUUUUCAUGCACUACAAAACAAUUGUUUUGCAGAGAUGUGUGAGAUGUGUUUCUCUUCAAGGGGGAGUCAGUGCAAAACUCUGAUCAAGAUCAGUUCACUGUUAAAGAGAGAAACAGACACAUUUAGUGAAAAAGUAAAUGAAUGUGUCAUAGUUAGCCACUAUGCCCCCUGAUCCUCUUCUACUCUUUUGUAUCUGCCCUAGCUUGUGUUUCUUGGCUGUCUCCUGUCUGUUGUUGUCUAUGUAAGUGUGUGUCUGUGUUCUGGCUGGCUCCCCGAUCUCCUGGCUGCGGUUGAUUACCGGCACACCUGUUCUCCAUCAUCAUCUAUCACAACAGUUUAUCUACUGGGCUCAUCCCCACACCAGCGCCAGAUCAUCUUCAUACCCAUGCAUGCACAACGUGAAACGGCCU